GAGUUUGAUCGUGGCUCAGAACGAACGCUGGCGGCAUGCCUAACACAUGCAAGUCGAACGAACUCUUCGGAGUUAGUGGCGCACGGGUGCGUAACGCGUGGGAAUCUGCCCUUGGGUACGGAAUAACUCAGAGAAAUUUGUGCUAAUACCGUAUAAUGACUUCGGUCCAAAGAUUUAUCGCCCAAGGAUGAGCCCGCGUAAGAUUAGCUAGUUGGGUGGGAAGGACCGUACCAAGGACUACGAUCUUUAGUCUGGUCGUGAGAGGAGUGAUCA
rnacentral:rRNA from 1 species